rnacentral:rRNA from 1 species
UUUACAGUUGGCUCCCAGGCUUCGACGGGUAGCCGGCCUGAGAGGGUGACCGGCCACACUGGGACUGAGACACGGCCCAGACUCCUACGGGAGGCAGCAGUGGGGAAUAUUGGACAAUGGGCGAAAGCCUGAUCCAGCAACGCCGCGUGAGGGAUGACUGCCUUCGGGUUGUAAACCUCUUUCAGCGGGGACGAAGCGAAAGUGACGGUACCCGCAGAAGAAGCACCGGCCAACUACGUGCCAGCAGCCGCGGCCGA